rnacentral:rRNA from 1 species
UAGGGAAUCUUCGGCAAUGGACGAAAGUCUGACCGAGCAACGCCGCGUGAGUGAAGUAAGGUUUUCGGAUCGUAAAACUCUGUUGGUAGAGAAGAACGUUGGUGAGAGUGGAAAGCUCAUCAAGUGACGGUAACUACCCAGAAAGGGACGGCUAACUACGUGCCAC